UACAGGGGGUGCAAACGUUGCUCGGAAUCAUUGGGCGUAAAGCGCACGUAGGCGGUCUGUUAUGUCGGAUGUGAAAGCCCUUGGCUUAACUGAGGAAGUGCAUCCGAAACUGGCAGGCUAGAGUACUAAAGAGGGUCGCGGAAUUCCCGGUGUAGAGGUGAAAUUCGUAGAUAUCGGGAGGAACACCGGUGGCGAAGGCGGCGACCUGGGUAGAUACUGACGCUGAGGUGCGAAAGCCAGGGGAGCAAACGGG
rnacentral:rRNA from 1 species